rnacentral:misc_RNA from 1 species
AGAAAAAGGUCACCUUUUGGGGCGACCUUUGCAAUUCGUAGAACGGAUGGUACGUUAAAUUUCAAUAUUUUCAGUUUCGAGAAUGCAUAUUUUUGGCGGUUGUUGUUUAAUCGCAAAUGCCAUUUUGCUUUUUAAUAUCUCUCUUUGUUUUUUCUGUAAUUUCUUCUUACGGAUAAAUUUUAUUAUUUUCAUUUUUAGCCAACCGACAUCAUUUUGUUAAAAAUAAUAAUUGAAUUCUAAAUUCAAAACUGUGAUGCGCGAAAUGCCCCUUAUGUUAAAUCUGUAAGUUAGCCUAUAAAAACCACGCUUUCGCAGCCUCAGAAGCCUAUAGUGCCGCCUUUAAGAUAUAAACAAUACCGAUAUUAGCCAAAACACGGUU